GUACACUCCUGCGGGAGGCAGCAGUGGGGAAUAUUGGACAAUGGGCGCAAGCCUGAUCCAGCCAUGCCGCGUGAGUGAUGAAGGCCCUAGGGUUGUAAAGCUCUUUCACCGGUGAAGAUAAUGACGGUAACCGGAGAAGAAGCCCCGGCUAACUUCGUGCCAGCAGCCGCGGUAAUACGAAGGGGGCUAGCGUUGUUCGGAUUUACUGGGCGUAAAGCGCACGUAGGCGGACUAUUAAGUCAGGGGUGAAAUCCCGGGGCUCAACCCCGGAACUGCCUUUGAUACUGGUAGUCUUGAGUUCGAGAGAGGUGAGUGGAAUUCCGAGUGGAGAGGUGAAAUUCGUAGAUAUUCGGAGGAACACCAGUGGCGAAGGCGGCUCACUGGCUCGAUACUGACGCUGAGGUGCGAAAGCGUGGGGAGCAAACAGGAUUAGAUACCCCAGUAGUCCC
rnacentral:rRNA from 1 species